rnacentral:rRNA from 1 species
GACGAACGCUGGCGGCGUGCUUAACACAUGCAAGUCGAGCGGUAAGGCCCUUUCGGGGGUACACGAGCGGCGAACGGGUGAGUAACACGUGGGUGACCUGCCCUCAGCUCUGGGAUAAGCCUGGGAAACUGGGUCUAAUACCGGAUAUGACUCCAUGACGCAUGUUGUGGGUGGAAAGCCUUGUGCGGCUGAGGAUGGGCCCGCGGCCUAUCAGCUUGUUGGUGGGGGAUGGCCUACCAAGGCGACGACGGGUAGCCGGCCUGAGAGGGCGACCGGCCACACUGGGACUGAGACACGGCCCAGACUCCUACGGGAGGCAGCAGUGGGGAAUCUUGCGCAAUGGGCGAAAGCCUGACGCAGCGACGCCGCGUGAGGGAUGACGGCCUGGU